AUUGAACGCUGACGGCAGGCCUAACACAUGCAAGUCGAGCGAGCGGCGGACGGGUGUGUAAUGUAUGGGGACUGCCCGAUAGAGGGGGCUAACUACUGGAAACGGUAGCUAAUACCGCAUACUCUCGGAUCACCCAUAUGGGAUUAGCUAGUAGGUGGGGUAACGGCUCACCUAGGGGAUGAUCCCUAGCUGAUCUGAGAGGAUGCCCAGGCACACUGGAAAUGAGACUCGGUGCCGGAUCCUACGGAGGGAGCAGGGGGGAAGAUUGUACUAUGGGUGCAAGCCUGCAGCAGCCAUGCCGCGCGUAGGAGGAAGUCCUUCGGGUUGUAAAGUUCUUUCGGUAUCGAGGCGUUAACUUCAGAAGAAGCACCGGGUAACUCCGUUCCAGCCGCCGCGGUAAUUC
rnacentral:rRNA from 1 species